UACGUAGGGGGCAAGCGUUGUCCGGAUUUAUUGGGCGUAAAGAGCGUGUAGGCGGCCAGGUAGGUCUGCUGUGAAAACUCGAGGCUUAACCUCGAGCUGUCGGCGGAAACCAUCUGGCUAGAGUCCGGAAGAGGAGAAUGGAAUUCCCGGUGUAGCGGUGAAAUGCGCAGAUAUCGGGAAGAACACCCGUGGCGAAGGCGGCUCUCUGGGACGGUACUGACGCUGCGACGCGAAAGCGUGGGGAGCGAACAGG
rnacentral:rRNA from 1 species